AACUCCGUGCCAGCAGCCGCGGUAAUACGGAGGGUGCGAGCGUUAAUCGGAAUUACUGGGCGUAAAGCGCAUGCAGGUGGUUUGUUAAGUCAGAUGUGAAAAGCCCGGGGCUCAACCUCGGAAUUGCAUUUUGAAACUGGCAAACUAGAGUACUGUAGAGGGGGUAGGAAUUUCAGGUGUAGCGGUGAAAUGCGUAGAGAUCUGAAGGAAUACCGGUGGCGAAGGCGGCCCCCUGGACAGAUACUGACACUCAGAUCGCGAAAGCGUGGGGAGCAAACAGGAUUAGAUACCCUGGUAG
rnacentral:rRNA from 1 species